rnacentral:rRNA from 1 species
UGUCGUCAGCUCGUGUUGUGAAAUGUUGGGUUAAGUCCCGCAACGAGCGCAACCCUUAUCCUUUGUUGCCAGCGGUCCGGCCGGGAACUCAAAGGAGACUGCCAGUGAUAAACUGGAGGAAGGUGGGGAUGACGUCAAGUCAUCAUGGCCCUUACGACCAGGGCUACACACGUGCUACAAUGGCGCAUACAAAGAGAAGCGACCUCGCGAGAGCAAGCGGACCUCAUAAAGUGCGUCGUAGUCCGGAUUGGAGUCUGCAACUCGACUCCAUGAAGUCGGAAUCGCUAGUAAUCGUGGAUCAGAAUGCCACGGUGAAUACGUUCCCGGGCCUUGUACACACCGCCCGUCACACCAUGGGAGUGGGUUGCAAAAGAAGUAGGUAGCUUAACCUUCGGGAGGGCGCUUACCACUUUGUGAUUCAUGACUGGGGUGAAGUCGUAACAAGGUAACCGUAGGGGAACCUGCGGUUGGAUCACCUCCUUACCUUA